rnacentral:rRNA from 1 species
GAUGAACGCUGACAGAAUGCUUAACACAUGCAAGUCUACUUGAAUUCUCUUCGGAGAUAGUAAGGUGGCGGACGGGUGAGUAACACGUAAAGAACUUGCCCUGCAGUCUGGGACAACUAUUGGAAACGAUAGCUAAUACCGGAUAUUAUGCGAGAGUCGCAUGACUCUUGUAUGAAAGCUAUAUGCGCUGCAGGAGAGCUUUGCGUCCCAUUAGUUAGUUGGUGAGGUAAUGGCUCACCAAGACCGCGAUGGGUAGCCGGCCUGAGAGGGUGAACGGCCACAAGGGGACUGAGACACGGCCCUUACUCCUACGGGAGGCAGCAGUGGGGAAUAUUGGACAAUGGACCAAAAGGCUGAUCCAGCAAUUCUGUGUGCACGAUGACGGUCUUAGGAUUGUAAAGUGCUUUCAAUCGGGAAAAAGAAAGUGAUGGUACCGAUAGAAGAAGCGACGGCUAAAUACGUGCCAGCAGCCGCGGUAAUACGUAUGUCGCAAGCGUUAUCCGGAUUUAUUGGGCGUAAAGCGCGUCUAGGCGGUCUGGUAAGUCUGAUGUGGAAAUGCGGGGCUCAACUCCGUAUUGCGUUGGAAACUGCCAGACUAGAGUACUGGAGAGGUGGGCGGAACUACAAGUGUAGAGGUGAAAUUCGUAGAUAUUUGUAGGAAUGCCGAUAGAGAAGUCAGCUCACUGGACAGAUACUGACGCUGAAGCGCGAAAGCAUGGGGAGCAAACAGGAUUAGAUACCCUGGUAGUCCAUGCCGUAAACGAUGAUUACUAAGCGUCGGGGGUCGAACCUCGGCACUCAAGCUAACGCGAUAAGUAAUCCGCCUGGGGGAGUACGUACGCAAGUAUGAAACUCAAAGGGAAUUGACGGGGACCCGCACAAGUGGUGGAGCAUGUGGUUUAAUUCGACGCAACGCGAGGAACCUUACCAGCGUUUGACAUCCUAGGAAUGAGAAAGAGAUUUUUCAGUGCUCCUUCGGGAGAGCCUAGAGACAGGUGGUGCAUGGCUGUCGUCAGCUCGUGUCGUGAGAUGUUGGGUUAAGUCCCGCAACGAGCGCAACCCCUAUUGUAUGUUGCCAUCAUUAAGUUGGGCACUCAUGCGAUACUGCCUGCGACGAGCAGGAGGAAGGUGGGGAUGACGUCAAGUCAUCAUGCCCCUUAUAUGCUGGGCUACACACGUGCUACAAUGGGCAGUACAGAGAGAAGCGAAUCCGCGAGGAGGAGCAAACCUCAGAAAGCUGUUCGUAGUUCGGAUUGUACUCUGCAACUCGAGUACAUGAAGUUGGAAUCACUAGUAAUCGCAAAUCAGCAAUGUUGCGGUGAAUACGUUCUCGGGUCU